rnacentral:rRNA from 1 species
UACAGAGGUCCCAAGCGUUGUUCGGAUUCACUGGGUGUAAAGGGUGCGUAGGUGGUGAGGUAAGUCGGAUGUGAAAUCUCCGAGCUCAACUCGGAAACUGCAUUGGAAACUACCUUGCUCGAGGGUUGGAGGGGGGACUGGAAUGCUUGGUGUAGCAGUGAAAUGCGUAGAUAUCAAGCGGAACACCAGUGGCGAAGGCGAGUCCCCUGGACAACUCCUGACACUGAUGCACGAAAGCUAGGGGGAGCAAACAGG